rnacentral:rRNA from 1 species
GAUGAACGCUAGCGGCAGGCUUAAUACAUGCAAGUCGAGGGGUCAGCAAUGACACCGGCGGACGGGUGCGUAACGCGUAUGCAACCUACCUACAUCAGGGGGAUAGCCCUAGGAAACUGGGAUUAACACCGCAUAAUAGUAUUGAUGGCAUCAUUGAUAUUUGAAAUAUUUAUAGGAUGUAGAUGGGCAUGCGUAAGAUUAGCUAGUUGGUAAGGUAACGGCUUACCAAGGCUACGAUCUUUAGGGGCUCUGAGAGGAGUAUCCCCCACACUGGCACUGAGAUACGGGCCAGACUCCUACGGGAGGCAGCAGUAGGGAAUAUUGGGCAAUGGAGGCAACUCUGACCCAGCCAUGCCGCGUGCAGGAAGACGGCCCUCUGGGUUGUAAACUGCUUUUGAAUGGGAAGAAUGUGAUGUUUGCGAGCAUUAAUGACGGUACCAUUAGAAUAAGCCACGGCUAACUACGUGCCAGCCGCCGCGGUAACAC